AUACUGUGAACUAGAUCUGGAAGUUUUUCUAAUUAUUAAUUAAGCAUGUCCCUUACCAGGUUCAUCACUAUUUUGUAAUUGACGCAUGAUCUAGCUCACCAGCAUGAGGUGUAAGGUGUUAGACCUGACACUGGAUAAUCUAAAUCUCUUCCUUAGCAUGUAAUAUUAACUCUGGAGUCAUUUGAUUUCUCUCUACAUUAGUAUUGUGAAACAAAUACCUAAUGUAUGUUGGUGUUGUUCCUAUCAAUGUAUUUAUUAAUGUAAUUUAUCAACAAUAUUGUUAUUAUACUGCAUUUCCAGCUGAAACUUUGCAUGUGUGUAUUUCAGAAAGUUCUGACCAGCCUGAUGCAAACAGGGAGAGAUGUGCCCACUAACUUUUUUCUGAUCAAGGUGGAUUAACAACUUUAUUUGCAUGUUUUCAUUUUUUUGCUUUGUUGCUAAAAAUAAGUGUUGGAGCCAAAUUCAUUUUUUGCUUUGUGAAUCUGCAUUAUCAUUCAUACACAAUAUCCGCUUUUGUUUGCUGAAAUCAGUGUGUGAGUAGCACUUCUCAUUAUUGCUGUUACAGGAAUAUUUCCGUAUUCCUCUAUCUCACUUGAGAUCAGUGCUCAGUGCAGCAGACAGCAUAAUCGUGAGGGAGAUCCUGCUGUACUAUAACAGGAACUAUGCCACUUUGCAGGUAUACCAUCUCGUCAUUGCAUCAUUAUAUAUAAAAAAAAAAAAAAGAAGGAACAAACAAUUAAGAUAAAUGCAUUCUAAGAUAUAAUUUACAGUCUUUUCUUUUUUGAAGCUAACAGAUGAUUACCUGCAUACCAUGGUGUCUGUGCUCUUCCAAAUUCACUUGCCCAGGGAUAUUAGCCUGUUUCCUGACAUGGGUCUUUUGUUGGCUCUAGCUACACCUUCAGACAUCUUGUCUAUUCCUCCGCUACAAAAUAAUAUCAAUGCGUUAAGCAUCAUUAACUUCAGCAUCAAAAACCUUUCCCGGGAGCAGCAGCAAGCGUUUGGUCGAUGGUUCAGUCAGUCCAUGAGCUUGCCUAACAUGACAGCUGGCAGCUUAUCCUUUAUCAGAGACACUGGUAACCUAAUCGCCUAUCUGCCCUUCAAGAGCUUCCAGUACCUCUCACCUGCUCAGGUAACAGCCCCAGCACCUCACAAAGGUACCUGAACCCAUCUGGCUCCGGUUAACCCUCAGGCAGCUCAGCUGGAGAAAAUGCCAAUGCUUGCCACUGGUUCAUUGUAACAGACAUGACCUCGUAGUCUGUUUUCAAUGAAUAAACACAGAAACACAUGAAUUAAGAAUGGCUUU
ensembl:lncRNA